UACGUAGGGGGCAAGCGUUGUCCGGAAUCAUUGGGCGUAAAGAGCGUGUAGGCGGCUCGGUAAGUCCGCUCUGAAAACCCGGGGCUCAACCCCGGGCCUGCAGUCGAUACGGGUAGACUAGAGUGCGGUAGGGGAGACUGGAAUUCCUGGUGUAGCGGUGAAAUGCGCAGAUAUCAGGAGGAACACCGGUGGCGAAGGCGGGUCUCUGGGCCGUAACUGACGCUGAGGAGCGAAAGCGUGGGGAGCGAACAGG
rnacentral:rRNA from 1 species